AUGGAACCCUAUGAGAUAGCUACUCCAUGUCUUGAUCUCCCAUGGAUUUUAUUAGACGACCUUAAUGAAAUACAGUUCUUGACUGAGAAAGAAGGAGGGAAUCCAUGCCCAUCUCAGUAUAUGCAAGCCUUCCAAAGUGUUAUCAUUGAUUGCGAGAUGCACGGCUUGGGGUUUAUUGGGGACACCUUCACAUGGCAUAGAUGGCGAACAAGAGAGAGGUUGGAUAGGGGACUUGUUAAUGAUGAAUGGAAGACACUCUUCCCCAAUGCAGCAUUGGAAAAUAUGGAUUACAAUCAUUCUUAUUAUCGACCAUUGUGUGUAAAUAUUGAAUAUUAUAACCAACCCGAAGCCCUAAACAAUGGACAACAAAACACGUUUGAGCCAAGGUGGUUAAGCGAAGAGAGCUUUAACGCGGCUGUGUGA
rnacentral:rRNA from 1 species